UGGUUUUCAACAUUUGGUACAUGAAUUUUUUUUCGUCCUAGAGUUAUACCUCAAGUCUUAAUUUUGGGACAGUUUCAUACAUCCAUCACGUUGGCUGUUAAGUAUGUCGUUAACUGAUGAUGUGACACUCACGUGGACAAUGAUUGGGCGCCAUGUGGAUAUUAAAAUAAAAUAAAAGGACUUAAAAACAAUGGAAAAAUCAGUCAUAGGGAUUUGGGCCUUCCCUUUCCUCCACCCUUACGACCCCUUUUUCUUCCUCUUCUUUUCUACAGCCACCAAAGCCAAUUUCCCAAUUCUCUUUUCCCAAAUCGAUACCACCAUGGCACCAUUACUUGGGUUCUCUCUCUUUCUUCUUUGUCGAUAACAAUGAGGCAGCAUAAUCGAACUUCUCCCUCUUUUUUGUCAACGACAGUAAGAAAAGGGGCAGCGUCAUCGUACAUGGAUGCCACUGAUGGGAAUGGGGUGCCGAAGAAUCUGAAAUGUCCUCCCUCUCUGUCUG
rnacentral:lncRNA from 1 species